rnacentral:rRNA from 1 species
GACGAACGCUGGCGGCGUGCCUAAUACAUGCAAGUCGAGCGCACGGACGUGAUGCUUGUUUCAAUGAUGUUAGCGGCGAACGGGUGAGUAACACGUGGAUAAUCUACCUAUAAGCCUGGGAUAACUUCGGGAAACGAGUGCUAAUACCGCAUAAUAUUUUGAACCGCAUGGUUUAAAAGUGAAAGAUGCAAUUGCUGUACCCUAUGGAUAUCUCCGCUCUGCUUUAGCUAGUUGGUAAGGUAACGGCUUACCAAGGCAACAAAGCAAAGCCGACCUGGGAGGGGGAUCGGCCACAUUGGAACUGGGAAACGGCCCAAACUCCUACGGGAGGAAGCGGUAGGGAACUUUCGGCAAUGGGCGAAAGCCUGACGGGGCAAGGCGGGUGGAUGGAUGAAGGUCUUCGGUUCGUAAAACUCGGUUAUUAGGGAAGAACAUAGGGGUAAGUAACUGUGCACAUCGUGACGGUACCUAAUCAGAAAGCCACGGCUAACUACGUG